UACGUGGGGUGCAAGCGUUAAUCGGAAUUACUGGGCGUAAAGCGUGCGCAGGCGGUUAUGUAAGACAGGUGUGAAAUCCCCGGGCUUAACCUGGGAACUGCAUUUGUGACUGCAUAGCUAGAGUACGGUAGAGGGGGAUGGAAUUCCGCGUGUAGCAGUGAAAUGCGUAGAUAUCUGGAAGAACACCGGUGGCGAAGGCGGUCAACUGGCCCUCAACUGACGCUGAGGCCCGAAAGCGUGGGGAUCAAACAGG
rnacentral:rRNA from 1 species